UUUUUAAAUGAUGAAUUUUAUAUCGCCCCAGUCUGAUUACUGUGAUUGAUUGAUUACUAUAUGUGCUGAAUA